CUGUACCCACGGCAUAUGGAUGUUCCCUGGCCAGGGACUGAACCUGAGCCACAGCUGCGGCAAUGCCAGAUCCUUACCCCACUGAGCCAGGCCAGGGAUCGAACCGGCACCUCCAGAGACAAGCUGGAACAUUAACCCAUGACGCCACAGCGGGAACGCCCACAUAUUUCAAUGACUUAGGGGAGUCUGCCCUGCCACCUUCUAUUGGAUGUGAGCUCCAAGUGCCAAACACAAGCCUACCUGCGGAGACAAUGUGAGUGACGACUCCUGCGAAUCGGGUCUACAGGUUAUCCCGUCACACUCAGUCUCACUGGCACGACCCAAAGACGUUAAGGUAAUGAUUUCUAUGAAUACAGAUGCUCAAACAUCUUACAAGUGUUUUGUCUCUCUUCAUAACAAAUCAACAAGGCAAAAAAAGGUAUCCCCACUACAAAAAAAAAAAAAAAUCAGUGGAAAAAGUGACAUGCCCAGAGAUGAUCAAAUUUAACUAAGAGCCAGAUAUAGGGCGUUACUUACUUAUUAAUCCAUAACAGUCCAACCCAAACGCCAAAUGCGCCUUGUAUCUCUAACUGCAUCUUUGAUAGGGUUUUUGACUCCCUAAGACUUGAGAAGAUUAAACCCCUACCCAAAACUCACCAGGAAUCCUGCCUCUCUCCGGAUUACAACCUGGACCGAGAAGCGAGCAACAUGUUUCUUUCUUGCCCCUGGGACACCCCAGCCACGAAGCUCAGGCUCUCAGAUGAACGGCCCGUUACUCUUAGCCUCACGUGCAGAGCCCGCUCCUUCUUAACACGCUUGACGAUCUGGUUCUGCCGCUCAUGGUGUAUGAGAAGCAACGAAGCACAAAGAAAGCACGUCGGUAGCGACAGGGAGAAAGAGAAGCAAAAACAAAACCAGAAGAGCAAACACGGGGGUUGGGAAAGAGCUAAACGUGGCCCGUGUACUGGUGCCGCACACGUCCCAGCGGACACGCUUCACGCCAAGCCCGGCGUUCGCCCUGAGGAUCCAGCCCGACUCGGUUCGCGUUUCACGUGUUCUCAAGGAAGAACCAGAAACAGGUACAUGCCUUUGUGGAUUUCCACCCAAAAUGGGGAAGCAAAGCCUUGGUGCUCAUUAAGGGAGAAAAUGAACAUGUGUACAAAGACCCAAGUGUUUCACAACAAGCCUUAAAUGUAUCAUCAGGUUUCUCCUGCCAAAGCAGAACGUGGGUUUUCUACAGUCCGAGACGUACAAUGGAAAACUUAAGGAAGAGAGAGAGAAAGAUCAACUCCACUUAAUUCCUCAUUUUCCUGGGAGUCGUUCAGCCUUACGGGUGAUGAAUGGCUCGCUGUAAACCGGUUUAGUUGCUCUCCUGGCUGCCAAAGCACAGCUAAGAAGCCAGCAGGUACAACAGGGAAGCUGUCAAGUCAAGCUGGCUCAAAACAAAGUUGUGGUUUGCAGGCGGGGCCUGAACCAUCUCUUCCGUUCAUAUAAGCUGGCAGGAUGUAGAAACAGGAUCCCGACCUAGCCACCGCUUCAGAGAACCAAAAUAUUUUGCUUUGACUUUCUAGCCUAUUAAGCUUGGGGUUUGGCAGGAUCUGUGUCCACAGUGAACGCAAGACCUUGUAAUGGUCCUCUUGAGGAAAUGAGAACACAAACAAAGCUGCCCUGAGUCUGGAAAGAAAGCAGUGUCUGGAGGGGUGUGAGGGACAGGCAGAGACGUGGGGCUGGCAAUCAGGACAGCCAGAGAGAUGGGGACAGCUAAUAUUUCUAAGUGUUUUCCACAUGCCACAUGAGCGCGUACGUAAUCUGCAGUAAUCUUGCUUAAUCCUCCCAACAAACGAACGGUAGGUGCAAGCAUUAUGCCCAUUUUACAGAUGAGAAAAGGGACGCGUUAGAGAGGUUAAGCAUUUGCCCAAGACACUCAAGCUGUCGGGAAUAAAAUCCUGGCGAACCAGCUCCAGAACUGACACCUAAAGCCACCGCGCUCUGACACCUCUCGCGGCCCACUGCCUGGUAAAGGAGCAGCACGCUGUAAUCCCAGCAUUACCGAGUAUAAAGCCUAAGAGUUACCUGUCAACCAUGAGAACCAGGCAGAACUCGGGGGACACCAAGUUUAGACAGAGGAGUAGCUCAUGAGUCACGAGACAAAUCCCGGCUCCACCUACCUCUAAACAGGGGAGCCCUGCAAGAGGCCUUCACUCCCCUGGGCCUCCAACUCCCUUCCUGGGAAGUGGGUGGUUGCUGUGUCCACAGCAAACUCUCGGUCAAGUUCACCUCGCCCA
rnacentral:lncRNA from 1 species